UUCUGGGGGCUGGAAAUUCAACAUCAAGGCACAAGCAGAUCAGCAGAUUCAGUGUCUGGACAUAAUUCUACAGGUCGAGGAGUUUCGCAGACAUAACUCCUUGGGAGCAGUGCCCAGGUCAAGAAAGAAAAUGUGGCCAAUGCCCCAGGAUCUUAUUUGGUCAUCCAGGCUGGACUGCAGUGGUGUGAUCAUAGCUCACUGCAGCCUCAAACUGCUGGACUCCAGUGAUCUUCCAGCCUCAGCCUCCCCCGGUAGCAAGGACUACAGGUCUCACUCUCUGUCGCCCAGCCUGGAGUGCAGUGGCAUCAUCUGAGCUCACUACAACCUCCGCCUCCCGGGUUCAAGCGAUUCUCCUGCCUCAGCCUCCUGAGUAGCUGGGACUACAGGCACGCGCCACCACGCCCAGCUAAUUUUCGUAUUUUUAAUAGACAUGGGGUUUCACCAUGUUGGCCAGGCUGCUCUUGAACUGCUAACCUCAAGUGAUCCACCAGCGUUGGCCUCUCAAAGUACUAGGAUUACAGUGCUAGGAGCCACCAUGCCCGGCCGCCUCUCUUUUCUUUUACACAUGAAGAAAAAGUGGUCAGAGAAGUUAACUUGGUCAGUGCCAAAAGCACUGGAAGUGAGUAGGACCAAGCUUUUCAUCUAGAUUUGUUUGUUAGACUCUAAAUCCAAAUUCACAACAAGAUCAGAAUAUGAGAAACCUAAGGAACAAAAUUCUAGGAAUCAUUUCUAGAAACUGUGGCUAUUGAAAAAGCACAGACCUAGGGAAUCAAAUUAUUUUCCCUGCCACCAGCACAUGGGUAGGCCUGUGACAAAUUCCAUGCUCUGGACCCCAGAUUCCUCAGUGAGAAUAGAAGGGGCUAGAGACAUCAGGGAAUUGGAUUUGGUGACUUUAAUACCCACUCAGCUCCAAAGCAUUCUUGAAUGAUGCACGAUUUAUGAAUAUAUAUAUUGAAAUUUACUGAUGGGUGAACAGCUCUCAACAUGAGAUUUUUGUUGUAUGCCUUAAAAAAGAUUAUACAUAAAUAUGCGUGUGUGUGUGUAUGUAUGUUUCGAUGUAUAUGAACCCAUGAUCUGAAAAAUGGCCACUGUGGCUUGUGGAAACCUAUUAAUCUCUGCUGUUCCACCCAACAUCCUCAGAGAAAAAAAUAAACAACUUUUUGAAAGUGCUGCCAUGGGGUCAGACCAAAUACUGUGGCCACUUCCAAGGGGUUUGCCUUGAUUUGCCUGGAUUCCUGUUCAUGUGACAUCUGCCUUCUAAUUCAAGGAUAUGAUCAAUUCAAUGUGUGAGUUAUCAAUCAAGGACUGGCAACAGUGAUGCUGAACAAGCCUGGUGGAAGGAAAGAGAAGGCAGGCCAGAGCCCAGACAGACGCAUUCACAAACCUUACAAAGAGGACAGGCUAAUUAGGGGCUGUAGUUCUCCCUCUCUUUAUAGUUGGUAUAAGAGGAGUGGUAAUCGUAGUGUCCAAAAAUAUAUGGGCUACAUAGUUGCUUAGUAAGCUGUGGGUAUGUGGUUUCUUCUGCAAGGUGCUUUCUUUCUGAUAAAGAGAUUACGUUGUUUGUUUGUUCAUUUAUUGAACAUAUUUACACUUACACACACACACACACACACACACAAUGUUCCAGAUACCGUACUUGGCAAUGGUAGUUAGACCUUGCUCUUGCAAAAUUUAUAAUGAAGUUGGGAAGUGUGGUUUGAUCCCUCAAAGUGUCCAAAUCCUAAUCCCCAG
rnacentral:lncRNA from 1 species